rnacentral:rRNA from 1 species
GAUGAACGCUGACAGAAUGCUUAACACAUGCAAGUCAACUUGAACUUCGGUUUGGGUGGCGGACGGGUGAGUAACGCGUAAAGAACUUGCCUCACAGAUAGGGACAACAUUUGGAAACGAAUGCUAAUACCUGAUAUUAUGAUUAUAUGGCAUCGUAUAAUUAUGAAAGCUAUAUGCGCUGUGAGAGAGCUUUGCGUCCCAUUAGCUAGUUGGAGAGGUAACGGCUCACCAAGGCGAUGAUGGGUAGCCGGCCUGAGAGGGUGAUCGGCCACAAGGGGACUGAGACACGGCCCUUACUCCUACGGGAGGCAGCAGUGGGGAAUAUUGGACAAUGGACCAAGAGUCUGAUCCAGCAAUUCUGUGUGCACGAUGAAGUUUUUCGGAAUGUAAAGUGCUUUCAGUUGGGAAGAAAAAAAUGACGGUACCAACAGAAGAAAUGGCGGCUAAAUACGU